AGGGUGUAAACGCUGCAGACUUGGUGUUGGAAGCCCUUUGGGGGCAUUCAGUGCCGGAGAGAAGUUGUUAAGUCUGCUACUUGGGGAGUACGUCCGCAAGGAUGAAACUUAAGGGAAUUGGCGGGGGAGCACCGCAACGGGAGGAGCGUGCGGUUUAAUUGGAUUCAACACCGUAAAACUCACCAGGGAAGACUGUUACAUGAAGGCCGAGAUGAAGACUCUGCUAGAUUUUCAGAGAGGUGGUGCAUGGCGUCAGUGACU
rnacentral:rRNA from 1 species